rnacentral:rRNA from 1 species
UAGGGAAUCUUCCACAAUGGACGCAAGUCUGAUGGAGCAACGCCGCGUGAGUGAAGAAGGUUUUCGGACCGUAAAGCUCUGUUGUUGGUGAAGAAGGAUAGAGGUAGUAACUGGCCUUUAUUUGACGGUAAUCAACCAGAAAGUCACGGCUAACUACGUGCCAGCAGCCGCGGUAAUACGUAGGAGGCAAGCGUUGUCCGGAUUUAUUGGGCGUAAAGCGAGCGCAGGCGGAAAGAAUAAGUCUGAUGUGAAAGCCCUCGGCUUAACCGA